GGACAGCAUUGCAUGGUCCCUAGCAAUACCGUCUUUGCAUCUGCCUGCCACUGGACCAUUGGAAGCCUGCCUUUGGGAUGUGUUGGCUGAAGCUGUGUUUGCCCUCUGGAAGCAGUUUCCUGGUUUGGAGCUGUUUCUUUUUGCUGGGGUGGUGCUGUGGAGGGGGGCUUUGGGACGAGUGAAAAAGAAGUGGCAGAUAGAAUGGCUGAGAGGAGAUUCCAAUAAAGGGUCAAAUGACACUGAUCACCAGGAGAAAGUAAAAAACGCAGUGACUUUUGAUGUGAGCCGGUCUCUUCGAAGUUCUUUCUGCUGCACAGCGUGUUUUUCGGGCAUGUUGCCAUGCUGCCCUCUCCCCUUUAAUGUGUAGUGCCCCAUGCUUCACUUAGUAUUUUGGCAGCCUGCACGCAGAAGCUGGCAUUUGAGCCCAGUGCUUUGAAGGCAGGAAAAAAAAAAGGUUGGGCAUGAGAACCCAUCAAGCCACUGGCCAAAAGUUUGUGUGAUGUAUACAUAGGGUAUUAUCUCCCACUUCAGUAGAGCAAAUGAAUGAUCAGUCUGUGUUUUUAGAUAUCUUCUCUGAUAUUUUGCCUCAAAAGAAAAGUUAACAGGUCAAAUCAAAUGUACCACAUUGUGAAACUGAAAAUGUUUGUGCUUUCUUUUGUGAAAAUACAUGUUUUCUUUAAGAGCAGCCAAGCACAAACAUUCCAUUCAUUAAUAUCCUCUGUCAUCAUGCUAUUGUUGAUUGGAAGAAGAACCUAUUUGCACCUCUGCCAAGGGUAAGGUGUUUGAU
rnacentral:lncRNA from 1 species